UUUCCGUAGGUGAACCUGCGGAAGGAUCAUUACAGAGUUCGUGCCUUUCGGGGUAGACCUCCCACCCUUUGUAUACAUACCAUUGUUGCUUCGGCGGCUCGCCGCAAGGCCCUCGGCUUCGGCUGGGGCGUGGCCGCCGGAGGACCCCCAACCCUGAAUUCCAGUGUCGUCCGAGUACUAUAUAUUAGUUAAACCUUUCAACAACGGAUCUCUUGGUUCUGGCAUCGAUGAGGAACGCAGC
rnacentral:misc_RNA from 1 species